rnacentral:tRNA from 1 species
GCGGGUGUGGCGAAAUUGCCAGAUUUAGGUUCUGGUGUCUUCGGACGUGGGGGUUCAAGUCCCUUCACCCGCACCA